rnacentral:rRNA from 1 species
UACGUAGGGGGCGAGCGUUGUCCGGAUUCAUUGGGCGUAAAGAGCUCGUAGGCGGCUUGCUAAGUCAGACGUGAAAUCCCUCAGCUUAACUGGGGAACUGCGUCUGAUACUGGCGAGCUUGAGUGCAGGAGAGGAACGCGGAAUUCCAGGUGUAGCGGUGAAAUGCGUAGAUAUCGGGAGGAACACCUGUGGCGAAAGCGGCGCACUGGACCACAACUGACGCUGAGGCGCGAAAGCGUGGGGGAGCGAACAGG